rnacentral:lncRNA from 1 species
GUGUUGGACUGGAUAAUCUUGGAGUGGGUAUAACCAUCAGAGGCAUUUUCUUCUUCAAAACAACACCAAACUUCUCUGUAAGGUCUAAUAUCUCUCCUUCGGGCAACUUCCAGUCGAAAGAAUGAACGAGUGAAGCCAGUGAAUACAUGAACAUCCUCUCACCCAUGGCUAUCCCCACACAAAUUCUUCUGCCAGAACCAAAUGGAAAGUAGUUGAAAUCAUUUCCACUAUAGUCCCAUUUAUUGCCCAAAAAUCUUUCCGGAUGGAAUUCAGUUGGAUUUUCCCAGAUAGAAGGAUCUCUCUGCAUAGCCCAUACAUUUACAUAAACACGAGAUCCUUUAGGAACAGUGUAUCCUCCCACAGUGCAUGUCUCACUAGGACAAUGUCGCGAUAAGAGUGGAAGAGUUGGAUGUAAGCGCAAGACUUCUUUCAUAACUGCAUAGAGAUACGGUAAUUGUUGAAUAUGAGACUCUUCAACAAUAUUAUCUUUUCCCACAACUCUCUCUAGUUCUUGUUGUAAUUUCCUCAGGACAUAUGGUUUGUUCAUAAUUUCAGCCAUGGCAAACUCAACUGUGUUGGAGGUUGUGUCGGUUCCACCAAUAACCAUAUCCUGUUCAUAGUAUUUGUGAAGUUCAACAAUUUUUUUAUUUGCAGAACUGUCUAUGGGAGCUCAAUUCAAGGUUCACAGUUAAGUUUACACAUAUUAUCUGAUGCUAAAUUUGCCGACUCUUUCCUUUAUGCAGUCCAAUAACAAGUUAGCAACUAACAGUUCAGGACAUGAAUAUAUGAAUCUGAUAUAUCUAAUAUUUAUAACUCAUUUUCCACAAUAAUUCUUCAAUAGCAUUUGAUCCUUUUACUAUGACUAAAUUGUCACUAUAAUCUAUAACAUGUAAGGAAAUAGACUAUUUCAAGUAAAAUGCAAAACUAUGAAACCAGAACCACACCUAAGAACGUGAAUUUUCCAGGCAGAAAAAUGCAACCAACAGUCAGGACAUUAGUUUACGAAUCUGAUUCUUCUGAAAUGUAUUCCCUAUAUGCCACAAUAAUUCUUCUAUGAAUUUACAAUCCCGUUAUCUAUUUCAUUUGAUUUUGAUGCUUUUAUUAUACAACAACAACAAACCCAGUGUAUUCCCACUUUGUGGGGUCUGGGGGGGGUAAGAUGUACGCAGUCCAUCACGGACAGUGUACUGUGUAAGCUAAUAGUUAAUCCAUAUAGAUAAGGAAAAAAUGGUUGAAGACAAAUGCAAUCUUGGCUACUCAAUAAUAAUGUAGUGAUGACUAAGGAGAGGACGAUUUCUUUUUGGUUCAUUUGAAAAAUACAUAUUUAGAAGGAAACAAUCAUAGUAGCAUCCACUGAAAUUAACAGAUUUAUCGUGUCGUAGAAUGCACAACUGAUAAAACAUACCAUAAGUAAUGCUUUGAGUUCAGUCAUAGACAGAGGCAUUUUGGUAUCUGCUUCAUCUUUCAACUUCAGCAAAACUUGCAAAAAGUCCUUGCUUUCUCGGCCAACAAAAGUUCCCAUCUCACCAUUUCUAUCCAAUUCUUUUCUUUGAUCAAUCACGCUCUCAAAUAUCUUAUCAAAUCUCUUUGACAACACCUUCAUCUUCUUUGUAAGACCCUGCAAAUCAAACCAGUCCAAGCCCGGGUAAAAAUCAGAAAGAUUGGGCAUGCCAAGCAGCUCAGUCAUCUCAGUCACAACAUGCCUAAACUCAGCUCCAAGAGUAGCUCUUUCCUCAACCUUCACUGUGUCACCCCAUAUCAUGCUUGUAAUCACAUUAAGCAUUGUCAAGAACAUCUGUUCACCAACAUUCACAGGCGAUCCUGACUGAUUAUAGAAGCAAUUGAUUGAUUCUCUAAGCUCUUGUCGCCUUAGUCCACAAACAGAAUCUAAAGCAGAACCAUUAAGCAUAUCGCGAACACAAACCUUCCUCAACAUGCGCCAUUUCGGUCCGUAAGGAGUCCAAACUAUGUCUUUGCCACCAUAUGAAGAUUCUCUAGCAGCAGCAGGCAUAUCUCUGUUAGCAAAAAGGGUAUCUUGAUCCUUAAGCACCUCACGAGCUAAGGAAGGAGAAGUAAUAAUAAUCCCAAUUUUUUUUCCAAGCCAGAGUCUACAAAUGGGCCCAUAAGUUUGCGAAAGAGAUGCAAAAUAGGUGUGGAGUUCAGGAUCAAGAGAAUGGAGAUUACCUAUCAAGGGAAAAGCUUUAGGCCCGGGUGGCAAUGGCGGCACUCCCUUGUUUGAGUUACUGAUGAGAAAUGAAACAAACCAUAGUACAGCUAAAAUACCAAGAAAAUAGGUGAAAAAUACACCAUUUUUCUCCAUAUUGGAUUCAUGCAGGGGCAUUGCGAAAGAAUCAAACAGAGGUUUGAAGAAUUUGAGUGACAUUAUUUGAACCUAAGAGGGUAAUGGAAAAUGCCAGAAGCAAUGUGGUGUGAAGCUUUUGCACCACUUAAGUUUUCGAGCAACAUAGGAUAAGACAAAAGCAGCUGAAUGCAAAUGCAACCUUGUCUACUCAAAAUAAUGCAAUAGUCACCAUAAAUGGUUUGAACUUUGAACUGUCAUAAAGGGAAGGUUGUUUGUUCCCCAUAUUUGAACACCUUAGAAGUUAGAAAGGACCAACCAAUAUUACAUCAUAAGAAAGACAAUUACCUGAAGAACAAAUAUAUGUUGGGUAAGACCAAAAGUGACUCUUGAAAGGCUACAGAAUAACAAUAUGAAUAUGAACAUACCUCCCCAACACAACUGUUGGUUCCAAUUUGUUUUUCCAGAGUCAUUGUAGACAAAAUAAACUAACGGAAUAAUUAUAUAUAACCUCCCCUCAAAUUUGGCUACAUCACAGUUACUUUUGUUGUUUUGUGAUAUUACUAGUUUAGGUGUACGUGUAGCUCACUUUAUUGAGUUCAAACGUUAGAAUAUUUGUUUAAAAAAUAAAGAUGAAUACAAUAAUUAAAUUCAACAUCUUUUGGAGAAUCUAUUUAAUUAAACUUUACUUUUACCAAAAAAAAAAUCUCAAAGCUGAUCGACAUUUAUCUACCACCUGUAAACUGCAACAAAACAAUAUGAUGAUAGAGUCAUCAAAACAAUAUAAUUAAAUCUAACCUUCGCACAAAAAUUUCUUCAAAGUCGUCUGACACUCAUCUAUAAUCUGUAAACUAUAACAAAAUAAUACCAUAAUAGAGAUAUCAAAUAAUACAACUAAACUUUACCUUUACACAAAAAAAAAUCUCAAAAUAGGGAUAUAAAAACAAUACAAUUAAACAUAACCUUUACUUAAAAAAAUUUCUCAAAGUCGACCGACAUUCAUCCACAAUAGAGAUAUCAAAUAAUACAACUAAACUUUAUCUUUACACCAAAAAAAAAUCUCAAAAUAGGGAUAUAAAAACAAUACAAUUAAACAUAACCUUUACUUAAAAAAAUUCUUCAAAGCCGACCGACAUUCAUCUACUACCUGUAAAUUCAUCUACGGCCUAUAAACUACAACAAAAUAAUACAAUAGUGAUCACAAAGCUUAAUUUUGUAGAAAUAAUUCUUGUCCGAGAAAAAAUUUUGACACUAAAGAAUAACUUAAAUGAAAACAAAGAAGAUAUAUAUAUAUAUAUAUAUAUAUACACGUUGAAUUCUAUUAUGUUGAUAAAAAUAAUCUAGUAAAAAAAAUUACAACAACUAAUGCCUUGUUAAAAUAGGUAAGAAAAAUUAAUUUACCUAAAUUAAAGAAUAUUACAUGAGUUUAUACCUAAACUAAUUUUAUUCGUAACAAAUCCUACGUUUAAAAGGACUCAUAAAUUAAAUUAGUUACCCUAAUAAAAUUAAAUAAUAAUUUAAAAAAAUAGUGAAGGGUAAAAAGUUUAAAUCACUUUUAUAAGGGUUUUCACAUGUUUUAUAUAUUAUAGAUAUAGAUUAUAGACAUAGAUAUAGAUUAUAAAUAUAAAUUAUAGAUUAUAGAUAUAAAUAAUAGAUUAAUGAAAUGGCCUUCAGUAUAUUUAGGAUUGAUUUUUAAUAUCGUAGUUAAAAAAAAAAUUAAUAUGGUUGGUCUUUAUUAUUAUUCCACAUAUUAUUUAUUAGUAUUAAAAUAAUAUGAGUUCCAAAUAAACUAAACUUUACUUAUAGGAAUUUUAGUCUUUUUUUCCUUUUCUUUUCUAGACACUAACGUUCCAUUUUUAAUUUGGUUCAAUUUUGUAUUAAACUUUACUAAUCUGAAUUUUAGCUUUCUUUUUCCUUUCUAAUUUUGUACGUUAAAUUGGGUUUUAAAUUUGGUUCUAUUUUGUCCUUUCUUUUUUUUAUUUCAAUUCAAGUAAUGAAAUAGAAAGUCCUAUUUUAAGAGUAUUUUUCUAUCCUAUUUUAGCAAAAAUAUUAAUUGAUUUUUCUUCCAUAUAUUUUAGGAGUCCCAUAUAUUUUAAGAGUCUAGUUAAUAUAAUAAAAAUAGUUAAAUAAUAAAUUAGAAAAAUAGUGAAAAGACAAUUUUAUCUAAAGGAGUCUUUUAAUUUAGGACAAAAAAUUCAAAUCACUUUUUUAGAGCCUUCACACUUUUAAUAUAUUAUAGAUUAUAGAUAUAGAUGUUUUCCUUUUUAUUUUAAUUUUCUUUUUACCGAUUGUUUUGACCUAAUUAUUAUUAAUACAAAAAUAAAUGAUUUAACUAAUUGUUUAUUUUAUUUUGUAAACACGCUUUCUUCAAGCAAAUAUUGACAAGAGAACAAAGAAAACACCCUUUUCAUAUUUAUUCUUCAUGUGUAUAAACUGUAUAGAAAACUUUGAAUCAAUUUCAAAGGGGAUUCCAUUUUCAUGGAACACAUUUCCAUAGUUCAUCAUGUAAAACCAAAUCGUCAUGCAGAACGCAGCUCUCGACAGAUACAUUUUUAUCUUACUCAUACAGUGUUGGAUUGGAUAAUGUUGGAGUAGGUAUAGCCACCAGAGGCAUUUUCUUCUUCAGAACAAUCCCAAACUUCUCUGUAAGGUCUAAUGCCUCUCCUUCAGGCAACUUCCAGUCGAAAGAAUGAACAAGUGAAGCCAGUGAAUACAUAAACAUCCUCUCUGCCAUGGCUAUUCCCGCACAGAUUCUUCUGCCAGAACCAAAUGGAAAGUAGUUGAAAUCAUUUCCACUAUAGUCCCAUUUAUUGUCCAAAAAUCUCUCUGGGUGGAAAUCAGUUGGAUUUUUCCAGAUAGAAGGAUCUCUCUGUAUAGCCCAUACGUUUACGAACACACGAGAUCCUUUAGGAACAGUGAAUCCUCCCACGGUACGCGUCUCACUAGGACAAUGAGGAACCAAGAGUGGGAGCGCUGGAUGUAGACGCAAGACUUCUUUCAUAACCGCAUAGAAAUAUGGUAACUGUUGAAUAUGAGAUUCUUCCACUAUGUUAUCUUUUCCCACAACUGUAUCUAGUUCUUCUUGUAAUUUGCUCAGGACAUCUGGUUUGUUCAUAAUUUCAGCCAUGGCAAACUCAACCAUGUUCGAGGUUGUUUCAGUUCCACCGACAACCAUAUCCUGCUCACGGUCUUUGUAAAGUUAUUAUCAUGUGUAACAAAAUUCAGACUUGUAGAACAGUAUAUUAGAGUUUAGUUUACGGUUCACAGUUAAGUCUUUACAUAUUAUCGGAUGCUAAAUUUGUUGAUUCUUUCCAUAUGCAGCACAACAACUUGGUAGCAACCAACAGUUUAGGACAUGAAUAUAUGAAUCUAAUUCUUCUUAUAUUCAUUUUUCAUCUGCCACAAUAGUUCUACGAUAAAUUCACAAUCCAGCAGUUACUUAUAUUAACACUUGAUCCUCUUAUUUAACUAACAUCAAUAUAAUCCAAUUUUUCAUCCAUAAUUGGCAAGGAUAAUGAGAAAACAUACCAUGAGUAAAGCUUUGAGUUCAGUCAUAGUCAGAGGCAUUUUGGCAUCUGCAUCAUCUUUCAACUUCAGCAAAACUUGCAAAAAAUCCUUGCUUUCAUGGCCAACACCAGCUCCCAUCCCACCAUUUCUAUCAAUAUGCAGUCUUUUAUCAAUCAUGUUCUCAAAAAUCUUAUCAAAUCUCUUCGCCAACACCUUCAUCUUCUUUGUUACACCCUGCAAGUCAAACCUUUCCAAGCCUGGAUAAAAAUCGGAAAGAUUUGGAGUACUUAACAGUUCAGUCAUCUUAGUAACAACAUGCCUAAAUUCUGCUCCAAGACUAGCUCUUUCCUCACCCUUUACAGUGCCACCCCAUAACAUGCUUGUAAUCACAUUAAGCACAGUCAAGAACAUCUGUUCACCAAUAUUCACAGGUGUUCCCGCCUGGUCAUAAAAGUAAUUGAUAGUUUGUCUAAGCUCCCGCCGCCUUAGUUCAUAAACAGAAUCUAAAGUAGAACCACUAAGCAUUUCACGAACACAAACCUUCCUCAACAUACGCCAUUUCGGUCCAUAAGGAGUCCAAACUAUGUCUUUGCCACCAUAUGUAGCUUCUCUACCAGCAGCAGGCACAUCUCUGUUAGCAAAAAUGGUAUCUUGUUCCUUCAGCACCUCGCGAGCUAAGGCUGGCGAAGUAAUAAUAAUGCCAACUUUUUUACCAAGCCAGAGUCUACAAAUGGAGCCAUAAGUUUGGGAAAGAGAUGCAAAAUAGGUGUGAAGUUCAGGAUCGAGGGAAUGGAGAUUACCUACUAAAGGCAAAGCCUUAGGCCCUGGUGGCAAUGGGGGUUGUCCCUUAUUCGACUUAUUGAUGAAAAGCCGAAGAAACCAUAGUAAAGCUAAAAUACCAAGAGAAUAGGAGAAAAAUACACCCUUUUGCUCAAUAUUUGAUUCUUGCCCUGGCCAUGAGAAAGAAUCAAAUAGAGGUUUGAAGAACUCGAGAGACAUUAUUUGAGGAGCCUAAGAGGAAUAUGAAAAGUGGCAGAGCCAAUUUGGUGGGAAGCUCAAUGCUUUAACACAAUUUAAAACAAAAUGUUUUUUGCUGAAGGAAUGAGAGAUCUUGGAUCAAGACAGAAGGUAUUCUGCAGACCUAUAAUUCAAUCAAUAAAUUGUUCUUUAUACAGCAAUAAGUAAAUAUAAUUCGGCAUAAACAAUGUAUUAAAUUGUUUACUUUUUAUUUUUUUGCUUAGGUCACUAUAUAUCAACGCUAACUAUUUGAACUCAGAAGUUUUAACUGAGUUAAACUUUUUACUUCAUAUUGCAAGAUGCCAAACUUAACUUUUAUAUCUUGUUUUAUUUAAUAUGGAAAGAUACCAAGCUCAACAUUUGUAUCUUGUAUCUUUGGGUUUUAAAUAAAUGAAAAAGUCAAUGACCUUUGUUGGGUAGCUCAAAAGUAUCUUCAGAUUUUGAUACCUUUCAGAAAGAAUUGGUGCUUCUCCUUGUUCACAAGACAAAUAGGGAAAUAGUAUUAAACUAGGUAUAUAUUGUCUUCAAUGCCAGCACAAAUAUGCUCUUUCAGAUACAUUUUUGUUUACUUUAGGGAAAUUUCAGGACGGUGUAGGAUUUUUCACAUCUCAGGAAUAUUUUAAUCACAUCACUAUAGGUGGUAAUCAUUCGUCGUUAAUACCAAAAACUUGCAGCUACUUAGAAAUAUUUGUCCUCGAAUGUUUGGAAUAUAGUCGUUCUAGAGUCUUUGCCACUCUCUCUACCUCCUUAUGCCUCGAAAUUUGACAAACUCCUAAAUUUCUUAAAAUUUCGGUAGAAUCUCCUUAGUAAAUGAAACCAUGCCAAACUUCCAACCUGUUCAUAACAAAAAUCAAUACUAUGGGAACUUUUGAUCAACCCUUAAAGGUUGCACAUACCGUAAUCCUGAAAUAAGUAAGGAUAUCUUGCUUCUAUAUCUUCCUCUGAUUUCCAUGUAGCUAACUCGGAAUUAUAUGAUUAUGCCAUUACACCUAAUGGAGGCUAUGUCUUUCGUUCUCAGUCCACAUACUUGCCUAUCAAGGACGUUAAUAGGAGCCUCUAAUCAACCUUAGCUUUCGAUAUUGCCUGUCCAAAUAGGAAUUUUGACAAUUCUAAAGUAUCUUAAGCUUUGCUCUACCUGGUUCUAACCGAGCUAUGAGCGAUCCACAUUGUUGCCCGUACAAAAGCCUCAAAUGAAACCAUUUGGAUACAAUUGGAUAGAUGCUAUUAUAGGCAAACUUUGUCAAGUGGAUCCCAGUUACAGUGAACGCAUCUCAAUAUAUAGUUCAUCGUACAAAGACAGAAGCAUAAUCUCUACAAACACAUUUCAAUACUCAUAUAAAAACACUAGCAAAAGGCAGGAACAAGAGAUUGCAAACGUCAACGGACUCUUACGGAUAACUUACACAUGAAUUACAAUAUAAAGAUUUAUGAUGAAGCAUAAUAAUUACUGAAGUAUUGAUAUUUAUUGUUGUCUAUUUGGUAUGAGCAUUAAAACAAAGUAAUACAUGUAUUAUUAUAAUUCGAUUCAGUAUAUAAUAUUUAAGUAGUCAUGGAAAUUAGCCAUUUCACAUGUAUUAUUAUUUCAAAUUUGCUUUAGUAUACUAUUUUUAAGAUGAAAACUAGUCAUUUCACAUGGAACAGUGAAACUUUUGAGUUGAGUAUACUAUAUUUAAGUUGUUCAUAAUGUUAGAGUGGGUACAAAGUCCCACAUUGGUUGAGGAAUGGACUGGUAGUUUGCUUAUAUGGAUUUGGGUAAUCCUCACCUUCUGAGCUAGCGUUUGAGGUUGAGUUAGGCCCAAGGUCCAUUUUUUACAUGGUAUCAGAGUCAGGUCCAUCCCCGUUUUGGAGGCCCUGGGCGUGAGCGGGGGUGGUCCAUCCCCAUUUUGGGCUCCCGAUCCACGAGCCAGGCGCCAGUUGGGCCCUGGGCAUGAGCGGGUGUGUCAGGUCCAUUCUUGACACAUAAGACCCAAAUCUUUUAUCUUACUCAUAGAGAGUUGGAUUGGAUAAUCUUGGAAUAGGUACAGCCACCAGAGGCCUUUUCUUCAUCAAAACAAUACCAAAUUUCCCUGUAAGGUCUAACGUCUCUCCUUCGGGCAACUUGCAGUCGAGAGAAUGAAUAAAUGAAACCACUGAAUACAUGAACAUCCUCUCUGCCAUGGCUGUCCCCACACAAAUUCUUCUGCCAGAACCAAAUGGAAAAUAGUUGAAAUCAUUUCCUCUAUAAUCCCAUUUAAUCUCUCUGGAUGGAACUCGGUUUUUUCCAGAUUGAAGGAUCUGUCUGUAUGGCCCAUAUGUUUAUGAACACACGAGAUUCUUUAGGAACAGUGUAUCCUCCCUCAGUACCUGUCUAACUAGGACAAUGAGCAACCAUGAGUGGG